rnacentral:lncRNA from 1 species
GUCCCUUUUCCCUCUUACCCUUCGUCCUUUUUUUUCUACUUCCUCCCUCCUUUUCUCUUUCCACUUCCUUUCUCCCCUCCCCCUCCUACUCUCUUCUUCUUUCCUCUCCCACCUCCUCCUUUUUCCCAUUUCCCUUCCCUCUCUUCCUCCCCCUUCCUUCUUCUUGAUACACACCUCUACCCACUUAUCCACCUUCCAACCCUUAACCCUGGAGGAGGACACGUGGGAGAUUUGGCCCCAGAAACUGAGGCAAAGCGCUGGAAAAGGACUCCGUUACAGAGCAGUUAUCGAAGAGCCUGGCACUUUUGGGAUUUGUCCGGUUUUUUGCCUCCAGAACUUUGAGCUGGGGAGACACUUAGUACCAUAUCCUUGGUGAGGAGAAUAAUGAUGAUGAUUCAAGACCCCCAAACUUGUGCCUCUGUGUCAAAACAGAAAAUAGAGAAAGUUAAAGAAUUCCAAAUGUCUUCAAGGAGUUCUUUUUGUCUGCAGGGAACACAGUGACUCAAUAGACAUAGCUAGGGCCCAGAAAAUUAUCACCUUUCAACAAGCAGCUUUUCGAGCUUGUGUAGGCUGGUCCAAGAAAGGUAUUUUUACAGAUAAAUAAGUCCUCUGGUCAAUGCUCAGCUUUCUAGGCUGGAAAGAUCUUGUCAGAGCUAGUAGUCUACAUAACUUUGUAGAAUUCAGGGUUAACUCAGUACCUUCCUUGACUGGUAACCAAGACAGAAAACAGAACUUUAUUCUAUUGUAGAAUCUCAACUAGUAAAAAGCUAAUAUGCAUAUUCUUUAAAAAAGAAAAUUUUGGUUGCAGGUAAGAAGGUACAGGGACUUUCCAUCAGCACAUUCCAUGCAUUUUUAUACCAUUCCAGAGACUAAGCACUGCCAGUAUGAAAACCAAUGAAGGAAUGUGAUAACAAGCAGUUAGGGAUGUACUGGUAAAUGUUAAACAAUGAACUCUCAGAAAACAGGACACACUUUAAACUUUAAUCUCCAUUAUUAGUAUUGUCUCCCUCACUUUCUUAAAUCUAGACAAUUGACAAAACAAUAAAUCAAACCUUGAUUUGUAAUGUUUGCCA